AAGCCAGGCAUCCCAGACCUUCUUCACAACCCUGACAAGCCCAUCCACAACCACGCCGUUCCCAUCAAAUGGUGACUGAUGCGGAAGGGACCCAGCUUAAUUCUCCACGCUGUGCACAACGAAUUACAAUCAGAACAUGCUGCAAAGUAGCACAUUUGGAUGCUAACAGGGGCUUCCGGGCCUGAUUCUGCAGGAAUCACUCGAACGUUGCUGGAGCAUUGUCUUCAAGAGGUUGACACGGAAGAGAACAGACUGAUAUCAAGGAAUUGGGCAGGAUUUAUACAAAGGAUUUAUAAACUUGAGCUCCAUGUAAGGAAGAGGUCUUUAAACAAACAGAUCUGCCCCUCUAAACAAGCAGAUCUGCACCAAAAUGGAGGAAUGCAGUACAAGGACCCCAAAGACGUGUGCUCUAGGGGUAGUAAUUUCACCCUUCGCCAGCUGGGUGACAUGGGGCAAGUCAGUUCACAUGCCUGAGGUCCAGUCCUCUCCUCCUUAGGAUGGAGACUGUGUCGCUGCUUGGAUGUCUUUUCAUUCCUUUGUUCAAAGUGGGGCAAUGCGUUUAGCAACAAACUGAUAUUCCUCUCCAUGGAUCAGCGGGAGAUUAAGAGCCCAGCAAUUUAUAAAUGUCAUGGCUCCGAUGCCUGGCAGGGAAGAACCUGGUGCUGCAGCGUUGAGUCCACAGACACUGUGGGAGUCUGUCCUAUAUGUGUGCAAGCAGGGACUCUGGGGGGUGCAGGGGGAUGCAGAAUGUUUGGCUCAAAGGCAGAGUCACCAGCAGACAGAAAGUUUGGUAAUUAAGUAGCUUAUGUGAAGUAAACAGUGAUGAUAAAAGCUAACAUUGACUAUGCUCCUUACACAAGCGAGGCCCUGAGCGCUUACUAAGCAUUAUGUUGUUUAUGUCAUUCAUUCAACAAAUAUUUAGGGAGGGCUCGCUGUGUGCCAGGCAGUGUCUGAGGAGUCAGCAGGGAACCAAAGGGGUAAUUAUCCUUGCCUUCCUGGAGAUUGCAUUCUACUGGUGUAUUUCAGGGAAGGCGAGAAGGAAAUGGAGGGAACAGAUACUAAACAUAGUAACUAAGUAUACUUUAAGUAUAUAAAGUGUCUCAGAUUGUUACCAUUACUAAAAGACAAUGUAUCAAGAGAGGCCCCCCACAGUGAGGAAUGCAUAGGAUUACAUAGGACGGUCCAGAAAAGCCUCGUCAUACAUAUUUAAGCAAAGACCAGGAGUGGGGACAAAUAUCUGGGGGAAGAAGUUUCCCAGUCGAGGAACUUUCAUACAUCAUAUUUUCACAGUGGUACAACUAUCACCACAACGAAUUUUGGAACAUUUUCAUCCCCCGAAAAAGACACGCCACACCUAUUAGCAGUCACUUCCCAUUGCCCCUGCCUUCCCUGCCCCUGGCAACCACUAAUCUGUUUUCUGUCUGUCCAGAUGACUUUUGUACUUGAAGGCUGUCUCUGGCUGAUCUGAAGAGAAGAGAUUACCAAGGGCUCAAGGUGAGGAAACUGAGGCUUAGAGAUACAGAGUUACCUGAAGUCUCAUGGUAUGUAGAGGAGAUUCGAAGAAUACAGUCUGUCAACCUCAAGCUCCUAGCCAUUGCUCAUCCUGCCUUUAAGGCUAUAGAAGGUUGGAUUUGUGUUACCCCUCCCUCCCUAAUAGUAUUAUAUAUUUCCUCCAUUCCUGUCCCUCCAUCCCUCCCUGACGUUGCUCUGCAAUACCUGGCACUAAAAUAGAUGGAGUACGUUUUCCUGUCUAUUGAAGUUUGCUUUGACCUUGUGACUGGCUUUGGUCAAUAGGCCUUAAAAGUGUUCACAUGGCUGUCUUGCCCUUUUACGCUUCCACUAGCACCAUGAGAUUAAAAUUCCAGGUAGCCACUGGCCCCAGGAGAACAAGGCGGCAUACAGAGAAGACCUGGAUCCAAUCCCUCAUCUGUAGACAGAACCAGCUGAAUCCAAACUAGAUAUGCCAAACUCCAACCGACCCACAGACUCGUGAGUGAGAAAAAUAAUGUUUGGGGUAUUAAGCCACAAGAUUUGGGGCAUAGUUGUUACAUAUUGUCAUUUCAGUAGAUAGUGACUAAUCGAAGAACAAACCUCAAAUCUUUGCUGCCUCUUCUGAAUGAUAAAACAACCAGAGUGGGAUACUGAGGUUCGAGGAGGAAAGCAGCUCGCUUCCAUUUGUACAGGUUGAAUGGGCAGCCCAGGGCUCUGACUGCAGAUCUUCCAACCUCAAGUCCAGCCCUCUUCUGUCUUUCAAUACCCCUCUCCUCCCCUGAAGUGUUCAUUAUUAUUAUCAUUAUUAUUUCAUAAUUGGUUAACAAACACGCCACAAGGAAGCCAGCAGAAAUGUCUGAUGGCUCAGAAUUUAAACAGCUCCCACCAAACUUGAUCAUUCAGUGCAAGACUGUCCACUGCUCCAUGAGGGUUUUCACAGCACAGCACUCACCAAGCUGCAUUUCCAUUGCUCAGCUUCCACAUCCGUCUCCCCCACUGCACUAGGAGCUUUCCAGAAAAAAGGGCCAACCACUCUUCAUCUCCAAUACCCAGUACAUUUCACAGGGUCUGACCUGGGAGAGAAUGAAGUAUGAUUUUUGAAUAGAUUCAU